rnacentral:rRNA from 1 species
AACGCGAAGAACCUUACCUGGUCUUGACAUCCCAGGAACCCUGAAGAGAUUUAGGGGUGCCGCAAGGAGCCUGGAGACAGGUGCUGCAUGGCUGUCGUCAGCUCGUGUCGUGAGAUGUUGGGUUAAGUCCCGCAACGAGCGCAACCCUUGUCCUUAGUUGCCAGCAUUAAGUUGGGCACUCUAAGGAGACCGCCGGUGACAAACCGGAGGAAGGUGGGGAUGACGUCAAGUCAUCAUGGCCUUUAUGACCAGGGCUACACACGUGCUACAAUGGUAGAUACAGAGGGUUGCCAACGCGCAAGCGGGAGCCAAUCCCAGAAAAUCUGUCGUAGUCCGGAUUGGAGUCUGCAACUCGACUCCUAUGAGGUCG